GACGAACGCUGGCGGCGUGCUUAACACAUGCAAGUCGAACGAAGUGGAGCACGGGUGAGUAACGCGGAAUCAACCUGCCCUUCAGCGGGGGACAACAGUUGGAAACGACUGAUAAUACCGCAUACUGCAGGUGGGCAUUGCGUCUGAUGAGUUAGUUGGAGGGGAAACGGCCACCCAAGGCGCUGAUCGGGAGCCGGUCUGAGAGGAUGAACCGCCACACUGGGACCGAUACACGGCCCAGACUCCUACGGGAGGCAGCAGUGGGGAAUCGUCCGCAAUGGACGAAAGUCUGACGGAGCAACGCCGCGGUAGUGAUGGCGGCCUUCGGGUUGUAAAGCUCUUUUAAUCAGGACGCGGUACCGGAAUAGAAAGCCACGGCUAACUACGUGCCAGCAGCCGCGGUAAUAC
rnacentral:rRNA from 1 species